rnacentral:rRNA from 1 species
UGCAAGUCGAGGGGUAACGGAAGUAGCUUGCUACUAGACGACGACCGGCGCACGGGUGAGUAACGCGUAUGUAAUCUGCCUUGUACAGAGGGAUAGCCCAGAGAAAUUUGGAUUAAUACCUCAUAGUAUUACCGAAUCGCAUGAUUCGGUAAUUAAAGCUCCGGCGGUACAAGAUGAACAUGCGUGACAUUAGCUAGUUGGUAAGGUAAUGGCUUACCAAGGCCACGAUGUCUAGGGGUUCUGAGAGGAUGAUCCCCCACACUGGUACUGAGACACGGACCAGACUCCUACGGGAGGCAGCAGUGAGGAAUAUUGGUCAAUGGACGCAAGUCUGAACCAGCCAUCCCGCGUGAAGGAUGACUGCCCUAUGGGUUGUAAACUUCUUUUAUAUG